rnacentral:rRNA from 1 species
UGGGGAAUCUUGGACAAUGGGCGCAAGCCUGAUCCAGCCAUGCCGCGUGGGUGAAGAAGGCCUUAGGGUUGUAAAGCCCUUUCAGUCGUGACGAUGAUGACGGUAGCGACAGAAGGAGCCCCGGCUAACUCCGUGCCAGCAGCCGCGGUAAUACGGAGGGGGCAAGCGUUAUCCGGAAUGAUUGGGCGUAAAGCGUCUGCAGGUGGCUAUGCAAGUCUGCUGUUAAAGAGUGGAGCUCAACUCCAUAAGGGCAGUGGAAACUGCAUAACUAGAGUACGUUCGGGGUAGAGGGAAUUCCUGGUGUAGCGGUGAAAUGCGUAGAUAUCAGGAAGAACACCGGUGGCAAAAGCGCUCUACUAGGCCGUAACUGACCCUGAGAGACGAAAGCUAAGGGAGCGAAUGGGAUUAGAUACCCCUGUAGUCC